AGAGUUUGAUCAUGGCUCAGAAUCAACGCNNGGCGGCGCGCUUAACACAUGCAAGUCGAACGAGAAAGCCCCGCAAGGGGUGAGUAAAGUGGCGUACGGGUGAGUAACACGUGGGUAAUCUACCUUUUGGUGGGGAAUAACCCUGGGAAACCGGGGCUAAUACCGCAUAAGCUCGAAAGAGGAAAGGAGCAAUUCGCCGAAAGAGGAGCCCGCGGCUGAUUAGCUAGUUGGUGAGGUAAAGGCUCACCAAGGCUAUGAUCGGUAGCCGGCCUGAGAGGGCACACGGCCACACUGGCACUGAAACACGGGCCAGACUCCUACGGGAGGCAGCAGUGGGGAAUCUUGCACAAUGGGGGAAACCCUGAUGCAGCGACGCCGCGUGAGCGAUGAAGCCCUUCGGGGUGUAAAGCUCUUUCGGCAGGGACGAUAAUGACGGUACCUGAAGAAGAAGCUGCGGCUAACUACGUGCCAGCAGCCGCGGUAAUACGUAGGCAGCGAGCGUUGUUCGGAGUUACUGGGCGUAAAGAGUGCGUAGGCGGUUUUCUAAGUUUGGUGUGAAAUCUCCCGGCUUAACUGGGAGGGUGCGCCGAAGACUGGAAGGCUAGAGUAUAGGAGAGGUAAGCGGAAUUCCUGGUGUAGCGGUGAAAUGCGUAGAUAUCAGGAGGAACACCUGCGGUGUAGACGGCUUACUGGACCAUAACUGACGCUGAGCACGAAAGCGUGGGUAGCAAACAGGAUUAGAUACCCUAGUAGUCC
rnacentral:rRNA from 1 species